AAUAAAAGUGAGCGUGAAGCAUAGAGAGAAAGGAUGCUUGAUGCUGGUGGGCAGGAGCUGAGGCAAGUAGGAGGGAACUGGGGGAUAUAAAGGGUGAGAUAUUUUGGACAGAGAAUGAUGCUGAGAAGACGCACCAUUGGCACCUUGGACCUGGGCAUCCCGGAGGCUCCAGAGCAGAGAGAUCUGUGCCAGCUCUGCAGGAACCUGGCUCAUACUUGAAAGUAGGAGCAGCCAUUCCCAUUGCUCUGGGUAACACGUGGUUUCCUCUCACGCUGCUGGUGGCACUCAGGUUGCCUGGAACUGGGGAAGAAUUAACAAAACACAGAAAUUGGAUGUUUAGCUUACUGACAAGGGCAAGUUGUGAUAUACUGCACUUUUCAAGUGUUUAUUCCCCUGGUCUCGUCUGCAAGCCAUGAAGGCAGGAAUCAUGCCAGUGCUCACCAAACAACAUCUGAAUUCUCCAUACAACUCUGCUUUGCUGUGGUGUUUAAUUACCCUCAGAAGUUGUUCCUGGGCGUGCAUGUGUGACUAAAACAGCUACCAUUAAAGACAAGUUCUGCAUUGCAUUACUGGACUAAUAUUGCUGAGAAUAAUGUGACCAGAAUAGCUACUCGUGCCUCAAGGCCAGAAAUGAUCCAUGCCAAGCCCACCUCCAUCCCUCCCCCUGUAUUGCCUCAUCUGUGCUGACAUUUCCUUGUGAAUAUUUAAGCAUCCUUAAUAUAGCACUGUCAUCGGAGCUGACGACAGCGAUCCCCAGAUCUCCCUUGGCAGUGGACUAAUUGUCUAAGUGCUCUUGCUGUUGGAGAGGAGCACUGACAGAUUAACUCAGACCCUGUAAGCAAAAAGCUCUCUUCUUCCUUUCAAUAAAAUCCCUGUCUGCAUCCGUGGCUGAAAGCACAAAAGCUCAGCACUGAGACGUACCUACUGCCUUUAAGGAUAAAUCAAACCAACUCUGCGCCGUCGCUUCCUGUAAGCAUUACAGCCCCAGAGAAACGCACCCUCACCGUUACGAGGGAAGACACCCUCUGCCUCUCCCACACCAAAUCCCAGCAGCAGUGCUUUGCCAAAGAGCCAAAAAGACUAAGUGCUGAGCUGCACAGAAAGGGAUGGAUGUGGAUGACUCGCCCUGAAACGGAAGACCCCAUCAAGCCAUGACACAUUGCAGGAUGGACUGAGCAAAUCAUAGGCUGUGUUUGUCAUAGAAUCAUUAAGGCUGGAAAAGACCUCCAAGAUCACCAAGUCCAACCUCAGCCCACCCCACCAUGCCCAUCACCACGUCCCUCAGUGCCACAUCUCCAUGGUUCUGGAGCACCUCCAGGGAUGGUGAUCCCACCACCACUCCCUGGGCAGCCCUGUGCCAGUACACCAUCACUCUUCCUGAGAAGUUUUCCCCAGUAUCCAACCUGAACCUAUGCUGGCACUUGAGGCCAUUCCUCUCAUCCUGUUGCUUCUUGCCUCCAACCUGGAUAAAGAACCAAUGGUCCCAUUACCCACUGCCAUUUUGGAUGGUCCUGUGUGGGGCCAGGAGCUGGACUCGAUGAUCCUCAUGGGUCCCUUCCAGCUCGGGAUAUUCUAUGGUUCUAUGAUUCUACCCUGUAGAGAUUAAGGUGCUUCCUGAAUAACGGGGCAUUGCUCUGCCUGAGCAAAGAGGACGACAACAGAAAGUUUCAGCUACAGAAACGAUCACAGCCACUGUUUCCAAAUCAUGGCUGAAGGAGUUUAAAAUAACAACAAAGAAUAGAAAACUGCUUUUGAGAGACAAAGUAAGUUUCUCUACAGCACUAACAGACAUGAAAUCGUAAUUUUCUUCAUUAACUCAUCUUGCUGUAGAUGAAAUGGGGUUUCAGAGGGAAUUCAGAAAUCAUUUCUUCCACAUGAAGAGUUUGUACACUUAAUUUGUUGCAGUAAACCACCAUUCUGCAUGCUGAGGACCUCUGUGUUAGCAGAUGAUGAAACAGCAUCUGCCUUAACUGUUCUUUUCUCCAUUUAACUGGUAAAGUAUUUCCAUCUCAGUGAUGAGAUGAAAAACACAGAGGAGAAAAUCACAGAAGAAAAGAAAUUCACAGUUUUCUAGCCAGAGCAUUCAAGUGGAAUAGCUAAUAUUGCCAGCUUCAGCACAAAGCAAAAUAAUGGGGAAUAUUUUUACACAACUUAUUACAAUGAACAGAUGCAGCACGAGCAUUUCGAAGGCACGCAUUGCAUGCAAGCAGGAUUUCAAAGCAACGUAAGGGACUUACAGAUUCAGAGAUAUAUCUUUUUCAUUACCCCAAACACUACACUUGUCUUCAAUCUAAAAACAAACAUUGACAAUGGAAGAAUUUAUAGGCUCAGGAGUCUGAAAUGUGGCUCUGGUUUCAUAGAUGGGUGCUUGGAAGAAGGUAAUUUGAAACGAUAGACUCAUAAUUGUGCCCAGCGUUGGAGCUGCACACUGAUAGCAGAGGCUGCAGAAGCUCCCUUCAACAACACAUCCAUGAGCCACAACUUGCAGAGAACAGGAAUGUGAGGUUGGUUUGAGCUCACUCUUCAGGCUUCUGGUGCAGCACAGGGGGUGUUUACCACCUUGGUCUUUCUUUUCAAACAGUGCCUCAGGUACUGGGCUUUGACACCUCUCAAUCCAUGCAGAAUAUGCCUCUUUUCACUCAACUCUCACUAAAACAUUAAUAAAGAAUUUUUCCAAGAGCUCCUUUCUUUUCACCUCCCUCCAACAUUUCUCAUCUAUUAUGCCCAGCAUCUUACAGCAUAUAAAAAUACAUCACUGAGUCUGAAGUGAAAUCUGAAGAGUUUUAAUUGCUCUGAGUCUUGGGAGGCCCCAGCCCCAUCCUCAACAGUGACGCAUUCAAGGAUUCAGCCCUUGGAUUAAUCCCAGGGCUCAGUGGAUGGACCCAAGGAUGAAAUUUAAAGAAGAGGUUGGGAAUGAUGAUGUCACUGAUCCCAGAAACCCUUCUGGUGAGGAGGAUCUGGCAGUGGGCUCUCCCUACAAAUACACAGGGGUUUUAUGGCAUUCAGUCCCAUGUUUGAUCUGCCAUCGCUCCUUUGUGGCACUGAGGUUAUGGGCAUGGGGUAGAGGGGUUGAUAGUUGGACUCUGUGAUCUUAGUGGCCUUUUCCAGCCUUCGCGAUUCUAUGAUUCAUUGCUGUUGCACUGUGUGCAAAGGAGCUGCGGACCAAAAUUAUCAGAAAUAACUUAAUUAUUGUGCCAAGGCCUUCGGAGCUCAGAAAAUGGAUGACUGCAGAGCAUAAUUCUUUUCCUUGCAAUAUUUUGGCAGGGUGUUGAACACAGAAAAGGCACUGUUCCAACAACGAUCAGAAGGGGCAACUGCUAUCCACUAUUUAUUCUCUGUGGUUAACACAAUAUUUUGAGCACAGCCAUUGAGCAGCAAGCUCUCUUGGCACUGCAGGUGCUGUUUAGAUCUUCUCCCUUGUGUGUGUAACACAUGGAACUGGAGAACCAGCACUUACCAGUGUUCACAUAUCAAAGACAUUACAUAAAGAAGCAGCGAACAGGAACGUGGGGAGGCCUGACCGAAUUGCUGCUCUUUUUUGGGAGCUUUCAAAGCUUUUGUCUGCCUCACCAUACGUUAUCUUGUUGGGAAAUGGUGUCUCUGUACCACUCUCUGUAGGAGUGGACUUCGUCCCCAUAAGUAACUAGCCAUAGAUAUAAGGCAAAGUGGAUGUGCAGGUUUAUAGCUUCAUUACCCGCUUUAGCAUCUAUCAGUACUGCAAGGAGAAAUCACAGAGGGAGAUAUUUGUACGUCUGCAAAUGGCCAAGAAAGCUGAAAUCCACAGUAGUCGGAAUCUUUUGCCGCUGUUAGCAAAAUGCAGUUAAAAGCAGUUUACUGAGCAUACUUAUCUGAUGGCUGUUUGUAAUUUCCAAGCCCUGUGCUGGCUGUGCCCCACAUACUGCUCAGCAGCCACCUCGGAGCUGUGAGCCUUUUCUCAGUAAGGAGGAAUCAGAACAAACCGAUUUGUUUCAUAGCGCACUACAAUCCUUGCCCGGAUCAAACUGCAUCUGCACACGAGGGUUGCUGGAGUUACAGAAAGCACAAGAUAGCGCCAGGGAAGAAAACAAGUCCCUGGGAGGAAGCUACAGAAGUGAUCUUGUUGGGAAGAGCUGAGCAGUGUGGAUAAUGAGGGUCCUCCCAAAAUGCCAGGGGCUGAGCAGGGCUCGCAGGUUGCUGCUGGUGCAGUUCAGCCACCUCUUGCCAUUUAAAUGCUAUCACAACUCCUAUAACUUUCAAAAUAAUAGAAAAAAAAGUAAUGAGCAGUACAUUAAAAUGAAACAUUGCUUGUUCUGGGAAAGCAACUAACCGAAAUACAAAGGACCUUUGCAGUGUCACAGAGAUUUUCCUGACAUCAUAAUGGCUGGUGGGAAGGGCUUGUGUUUGUCUGUGCUCUGCUGCCAGCCUAAUCGGAUCAGCACUGCUAGUACAGUUGAUUUCCCUCUUGCUGACUUUGGGUGUAUAGAUGUGUGUGCAGCUCAGACCAGGGGAGAAAGAAGAAAAUAUUUGCCCCUCCUCUGCUUUUGGCAGCUUUUGGGAGGGGGAUGGCAUCAACUGUAGGAAAUCUAUGUACUGACCAAGAUGCACAGAGGCACAAGAGAAGGGAGGCAAGCCCCAUGUGGACACACUGCCCUGUAUCGCCUGUGCACGAAAUUCCCAGCAUGGUUGAUGCUUUUAGCUUAUUUUAUUUUCUUAAAACACUGCUAAGACUCGUUUUAUCAAGUACCAUUUGCUGGUCUAAUAAAAUAUUAUCAUGUCUCAUGAAGGAAAGCCAGCUGCUCAGCAGAUGAAGCUGUCCAGCAGAGUGCUGGUGACAGCGCUGCAGAUGCGCUUCGAUGCAAUCAAUUUAGGAUAACAAUGCUGAGCAAAGGAGCAGAUGUGCCAGUCUCCUGGCUUGGCUUUGGAUGCUGCAACUGAUGGCAGCUUCUCUAGUCCUGGUCCCCUCCACAUUUAGCAGUGAGUUUUGCCUGCAGCCAGGCUGAGAGUUAACUUGGGUAAGCAGCAGCCACUCCUCCUUCCUCACCUAUGCUGAUUUUCUUUGAGUGUUCCUAAGUGCCUUUUCAAACCAAAUAUAACUUAGCUGGCCCACUGCUUUCUGACAAAUAUCUUUCCUAGCUUUAUUUAUCAUACAGCCAUAAAUAGUUCACUCAACGCUGCACCUAUAGAGCCUGCUUAAAGAUUUUUUUUCCACCAACUGUAUUUCAUCUUGCAGAAAGUGGAAUAUUUACAGUGUUUGUCACCAUUCAGGUAACAUGUGUCAGCUGGCUGCUCGGAACCCAUCACGUAAAGGAGGAAAAGCCCAACAGAAAUGCAACUGGAUACAAUAAAUACUGUGCUUGUGAGUUUGGGCAUUCAGACACACUGUGAGUCAACUUUGAAAAAGCAACUGAACAGAACACAUCACCUUUGCAUUCUCACCUAGUGAGGGCUCCUAAUGCCAUGACAUGCCCACACACAGCGCUGCCACCCAACAGGUGGGGUGCACUUUGUCCCCCCAAACACAUGGAUGUGGAUUGCACACAGAGAAACUUAAGCACAACACCUCCAAAUUGCACUGUGCUCAAAGGAGCCCAAGCAUGCAUGACUCUUGCUGGGGUCAGAAACACCAGCAGGACCUCCUGCCUCUGUCUCUCUGCAGAUUUCUGCUGCAGCUCCAUUGCUCAGCAAUGUGGUCUCUUAGCACACUUUCCCUUUUUCCACACUCGUUCACUCAGGCAGACAGCCAACUAUAAAGCAUUCGCUGAACUCGUCCACAACACCUUGGUAACAACUGAAGCUGACCCCUGAGAACAGGGAAUCACCAACGCCAUUAAGGAGAUUUCACGUGCUUCGUUGUCAUUUCUGAGGAUGAAGCUGAGCUGCCUGUUCAGAUGGGUACUAUGAUGGGGUCACACAUAGUCCUGCAGUCACUCUUCCCCGAUAACGUGACAAUGUCACAUCCAUGCAGUCAAAGAUUAUGUUGCCUUUUGUGAUGUCUUACCCUGGUCCAAGCACAACAAGAAAAAAAGUUGCCUGUUUUGCACAUCACUGGCUAUUAGGCUAUGUCUGGUUACAUCGCAUCAGUUGACACGACAUAAAACAAUGUAAGCAGAUCAGAUGUGACAUAAAUGUCACGUUGCAUCAGGUUUUAAAGAAAUUGGCAGCUAUUACACGACGGAUGAAAAAUGCCAAGAGACGCUCAGCCAUCAUACAGGUAGACCUUCAAGAUAAAGUGAUGUUACCUACCAAACAUAGCCCACAGCUUUGUAUUCUAAUCAUAGAUUCAUGCAGGUUGGAAAAGACCUCUAAGAUCAUCCAGUCUGAUCGUUCACCCACCACCAACAUUGCUCACUGCACCAUGUCUCUCAGUGCCACAUCUACACGUUGCUUGAACACCUCCAGGAACAGUGACCGCACCACCUCCCUGGGCAGCUGUGCCACUGCAUCACCACUCCUUUGGCAAAGAAAUUUUCCCUAACAUCCAACCUGAACCUCCCCUGGUGCAACCUGAGGCCAUUCCCUCUCAUCCCAUCAAAAUGACACAUUAUCAGCUUAUGAAAUGAUCACUUUUACUCUGUGUUAUGCUCCUAUUCCUCUCAAGAAGACGCAGACGUGGUGACCAUUAUCCCUUAUAAAGCACCCAUAAGCAGCAAAUUCACCGACCGAAAAAUAGACAAAACAUGGAGCCUGACUCAAAAAAACACUGAAAUCAAUAACAGGCUAUCUAUUGACUCAAACAGGAAAUGGAUCAGCACCUCUAUGCCUCAGUAAAUAUUUUUACUAUACAACUAAUUUCCCAUUUGAAGGAAAAGCAUCAUUUUUUGUUGGUCAGUGGGAAUAAAGGAGCAAAACAAAUUUAUGUAACAGAGCAAACAGAUUACAAAAGAGAGGUAGCACUUACGUAAGGUAUCAGUGCUAAUGCCAGGCUUGCUUUUAUCAACGUUAUCUUCAUUUUCCACUCAAACAGAAGAGAGUAAAUGAGAGAGCAAGCCUGAUGUUUGCAGCAGCAGUAGUGACAUGGCUUAUGUACGUGCUCCUCCUACCCACUGCUGGCAGAGCAAACGUGGUGCCUGGGCAUCACAGAGCCCUCUGGACACUGAACACUUUCUCACCCUGCUUCUGGAGCGAAAACAGCUUAGGAACCUCUGCAAAAACAGAAAAUGGGCAGCAUCAGUAUUGCCUGCAUGACUUGCACAGCACCUGCACACUGCACGGAGCUGCAGCAGCAAGGGGAGGGCACGACAUACCUGAGGGAGUCUGCUCUCCAAAAUGCAUCUCCUGGAUGAUUUUCUUACACACUGUUUUUCCCUCCUCACGUAGCAUGUGUACACCAGAAACGAUUUCAAUGAUGAAUCAGGCAGCUUACCUGUGGACUAAGACUCCAACUGUAAAGUGAUUCAUCUUAAAACCAGUUUAUAAAUGAGAAACAGACAUCUCGAGGCUGGUAACCUUUCAGAAACACCAUGGUGACAGAUUCUGCCUGACAGAUUUGAUAUGAAUUCUGCCCAUUGUAUAAAUAUUAAUAGCUCUGACGCUUAGCAUUGCAGACUUAAUCUUCUCAGGUGUAUUUGCAGCAAUAGAGCCUGACCCAGCACGGGAAAGAUGCAGUGCAGUGCUCAAGGUGUUAUUUAGAGUCAUUAGUCCUUGACAGGAAAAAGUUAAUUGACAAGCAUUCACAAACGUUGCAUACUUGAACAUCUCAGAGGAAUUGCCCAAUUAAUAUACUGUCAAACAAGCUGAUUUGGGAUCAUUAAGAACCUCUGGCACGGCGAAGGCACACAGGCAGAGCAGGAGGAGUGCGGUCACGUCACUCUCAUUGUGAUGGGGAAAAUGAAGCACCCUGGCAUCCCUGCUGUCAGGUUGGACAUUAGGAAAAGCUUCUCUGAAAGAGUGGUGAGGCAUUGGCACAGGCUGCUCAGGGCGGGGGUGAAGUCACCAUCCCUGGAGGUGUUUAGAAACCAUGGAGAUGUGGCAGUGAGAGACAUGGCUUCAUGGGUAGUCAUGGUGGUAGGUGGACGAUUGGACUAGAGGACCUUAGAGGUCUUUUCCAACCUUAGCGAUUCAAUGAUUCACAUUUCCUAUUGACGCCCUGGAGAGCCCUGUGAGCAGGGCAAGAGGGAAGCAGAGAAGAGCAGGAUUUAAGGUGGAGUGUUCAUAAUGAGGUCUUCCGAGCAGCUCUCAAUGAAAGUCUGCAUCAGUAGAGGCUCAGAGCCCAUCUCCACCAGCCAAAGGCAGACUUUACAGCUCCUUUUGUUCAACGUCUAAGUUAACUGUGCAAAAGAUGUACAAUACUGAGAAAGAGCCAAUUGUACUGAAACUAUGAAGGAUUAAGGAGGCAAGGUGGGAUAAGUAUAUUAAAAAAUCUGUACCUCGGUUGGCUUUGUUUUGUUCUUCUUCUGAACAGCUCCUCUUUGUGCCUUCUGCCUGUGUGGACAAAUUUUGAACAAUUUAGCUGAUGAACAGUCAUUCCCACUUUUAAAAUAAAACAAUUUUACAACUAAUUGUUAAUGAGCUACCUUGUAAUUUUUCUAUUUUGAGCCAGAGGCGCUUUGAGUCAGGCCUGCCAAACCAAAUUCUUUGACCCAAUUUCUAAGAAUAAAUUCCCUCCUGAAAACUGAACGCACA
ensembl:lncRNA